rnacentral:rRNA from 1 species
UACGGGGGGGGCAAGCGUUGUUCGGAUUUACUGGGCGUAAAGGGCUCGUAGGCGGCCAACUAAGUCGGAUGUGAAAUCCCCAGGCUUAACCUGGGAAUUGCAUCCGAUACUGGAUGGCUUGAAUCCGGGAGAGGGAUGCGGAAUUCCAGGUGUAGUGGUGAAAUGCGUAGAUAUCGGGAGGAACACCAGUGGCGAAGGCGACUGCCUGGCCUGUUCUUGACGCUGAGGCGCGAAAGCUAGGGGAGCAAACGGG